rnacentral:rRNA from 1 species
ACCCGAUGCAAACUGCGAAUACCGGAGAAUGUUAUCACGGGAGACACACGGCGGGUGCUAACGUCCGUCGUGAAGAGGGAAACAACCCAGACCGCCAGCUAAGGUCCCAAAGUCAUGGUUAAGUGGGAAACGAUGUGGGAAGGCCCAGACAGCCAGGAUGUUGGCUUAGAAGCAGCCAUCAUUUAAAGAAAGCGUAAUAGCUCACUGGUCGAGUCGGCCUGCGCGGAAGAUGUAACGGGGCUAAACCAUGCACCGAAGCUGCGGCAGCGACACUCAGGUGUUGUUGGGUAGGGGAGCGUUCUGUAAGCCUGCGAAGGUGGCCUGUGAGGGUUGCUGGAGGUAUCAGAAGUGCGAAUGCUGACAUAAGUAACGAUAAAGCGGGUGAAAAGCCCGCUCGCCGGAAGACCAAGGGUUCCUGUCCAACGUUAAUCGGGGCAGGGUGAGUCGACCCCUAAGGCGAGGCCGAAAGGCGUAGUCGAUGGGAAACGGGUUAAUAUUCCCGUACUUGGUGUUACUGCGAAGGGGGGACGGAGAAGGCUAUGUUGGCCGGGCGACGGUUGUCCCGGUUUAAGCGUGUAGGUGUGUGUUCCAGGUAAAUCCGGUU